AUCCNUGGUCAGAAUCAACGCUGGCGGCGUGCCUAACACAUGCAAGUCGAACGCGAAAGCCCCGCAAGGGGCAAGUAGAGUGGCAAACGGGUGAGUAACACGUGGGUGACCUGCCUUCGAGCGGGGGAUAACGUCCCGAAAGGGACGCUAAUACCGCAUAACAUCCUGCCUUUGAAGAGGUGGUGAUCAAAGCUGGGGAUCGCAAGACCCGGCGCUCGAAGAGGGGCCCGCGUCUGAUUAGCUAGUUGGUGGGGUAACGGCCUACCAAGGCAACGAUCAGUAUCCGGCCUGAGAGGGCGGACGGACACACUGGGACUGAGACACGGCCCAGACUCCUACGGGAGGCAGCAGUGGGGAAUUGUUCGCAAUGGGCGCAAGCCUGANNAANCAACGCCGCGUGGAGGAUGAAGAUUUUCGGANAGUAAACUCCUGUCGAAUGGGACGAACAGAUUGCGGGUGAACAGCCGGUAGUCNUG
rnacentral:rRNA from 1 species